rnacentral:rRNA from 1 species
GUGGGGAAUUUUGGACAAUGGGCGCAAGCCUGAUCCAGCAAUGCCGCGUGCAGGAAGAAGGCCUUCGGGUUGUAAACUGCUUUUGUACGGAGCGAAAAGGCUCUCUCUAAUACAGGGGGCUCAUGACGGUACCGUAAGAAUAAGCACCGGCUAACUACGUGCCAGCAGCCGCGGUAAUACGUAGGGUGCGAGCGUUAAUCGGAAUUACUGGGCGUAAAGCGUGCGCAGGCGGCUUUGUAAGACGGAUGUGAAAGCCCCGGGCUUAACCUGGGAAGUGCAUUCGUGACUGCAAGGCUAGAGUGUGUCAGAGGGAGGUGGAAUUCCGCGUGUAGCAGUGAAAUGCGUAGAUAUGCGGAGGAACACCGAUGGCGAAGGCAAUCCCCUGGGCCUGCACUGACGCUCAUGCACGAAAGCGUGGGGAGCAAACAGGAUUAGAAACCCGUGUAGUCC